GUCAACGACCACCUCUUGAAGGAGAGGGCUUGAGGUGCCGCACCGCGCGCUGACGGCCCCGCGUUGACCAGCCCAAGUCGAUCAUCUUGAAGGAGGUGCAUUCGAUUGACUACGUUUCACGUAGGUCAGCAGACCCACCAGUCCGUGCUUCCUCAGCGGGCUGCUCUGGA
rnacentral:sRNA from 21 species